UACGUAGGGGGGCUAGCGUUGUUCGGAUUUAUUGGGCGUAAAGAGCGUGUAGGCGGCCAGGUAGGUCUGGUGUGAAAACUCGAGGCUUAACCUCGAGAUGUCAUCGGAAACCAUCUGGCUAGAGUCCGGAAGAGGAGAGUGGAAUUCCUGGUGUAGCGGUGAAAUGCGCAGAUAUCAGGAAGAACACCAAUGGCAAAGGCAGCUCUCUGGGACGGUACUGACGCUGAGACGCGAAAGCGUGGGGAGCGAACAGG
rnacentral:rRNA from 1 species